rnacentral:rRNA from 1 species
GACGAACGCUGGCGGCGUGCUUAACACAUGCAAGUCGAACGGAAAGGCCCUGCUUUUGUGGGGUGCUCGAGUGGCGAACGGGUGAGUAACACGUGAGUAACCUGCCCUUGACUUUGGGAUAACUUCAGGAAACUGGGGCUAAUACCGGAUAGGAGCUCCUGCCGCAUGGUGGGGGUUGGAAAGUUUCGGCGGUUGGGGAUGGACUCGCGGCUUAUCAGCUUGUUGGUGGGGUAGUGGCUUACCAAGGCUUUGACGGGUAGCCGGCCUGAGAGGGUGACCGGCCACAUUGGGACUGAGAUACGGCCCAGACUCCUACGGGAGGCAGCAGUGGGGAAUAUUGCACAAUGGGCGGAAGCCUGAUGCAGCAACGCCGCGUGCGGGAUGACGGCCUUCGGGUUGUACACCGCUUUCGCCUGUGACGAAGCGUGAGUGACGGUAAUGGGUAAAGAAGCACCGGCUAACUACGUG